GGACUACCAGGGUUUCUAAUCCUGUUUGCUCCCCACGCUUUCGCGCCUCAGCGUCAGAAACGGGCCAGUGAGCCGCCUUCGCCACCGGUGUUCUUCCCAAUAUCUACGAAUUUCACCUCUACACUGGGAAUUCCACUCACCUCUCCCGCUCUCGAGCCAUACAGUCUCAAAGGCCAUUCCAGAGUUAAGCUCUGGGAUUUCACCCCUGACUUAUAUGACCGCCUACGCGCGCUUUACGCCCAGUAAUUCCGAACAACGCUAGCCCCCUUCGUAUUACCGCGGCUGCUGGCAC
rnacentral:rRNA from 1 species